rnacentral:lncRNA from 1 species
CACAAUAGAUCAACCCACAAAUAAAUUAAAGGUAGUGUGAAUUUUGAGAAUCUUAAAAGUGACAACCAUUAUGUCAUACAACAAUAACACUAAGAAAAAAAACUAAGUAUAUGUCUAACAAAUCGAAAGUAAAGUCUACACCAAAAAACUAUCAAAACCAAACAUAUAAUUUGUAAGACAAAAUCGUGACGACGGUGUUUGCAUAGUGUUGAUUACUACAUGUCUUGAUAACUUACGAAGCAUCCCUUUUACAAGUUGCAUUUCUUUUGAUCUUCCUUUCCUGUCAUGCAACACAAGUAUAGCCCUAUAACAUCAUUAUAAGUUACUCAAAUAAAUUAACUUUAUUAGGUUCAACUCAAACUUCCAUAUAUUCAAUGGACAUUAACGGUUUCAUGAUCUACUAAUUACCGUGUUCUACAUAUAUAAAGCAACUACCCUUUUUACUAUCAAAUUUCUUAAGAUGUUAUCAAUUACAGUUUGUAUUGGAGCAAUAAUUAAUAUGGUAUAUUAUUAAAAUUGAAGGUUGCAAAGAGUACCAUAAUAGACACUUGUACUUUUAGGCACUUUCAAAUCAUCAGUAACAACCUGGAAAUUAUACACAAAAGUGGCUAAAUUAAUCAUGAGGCAAUUCAAAGAGUAAAAACAAAUUUCAAACUCAAGGGAAUACAACCAAAGUGAUUCUCAAUGAAAUACAACAGUUCAUGAUAUAGGUAGGGCAGAAAAAAGGAAAAUACAACCUAUAUAUAUAUAUAUACACCACCCAAACCAAACCAAACCAGCACCUGCAACUAAGCCACACAACUCGGACGAACAAGUCACCGAGUCAAAAGAACCAGCAUAUCAUAUAUACUAGGAUGAAGGAGAAACAAGAGAAAAAAGAGCAGUGGUCCAGCCGAGGCAAGGACGAAGAGAUGGGUGGUAGUCAUAAAGCACCAGUACAAAAGUAUGUUUGGAAGAAGGUUAGGGAAAAUGACAUAAAAACAUGCUCAAAAGAGUGAAAUAUGGGAUCCAAAACCAAUUAGGUCCUCGGGUCAGGAUUUUAAUAAAUAUGACAGUCUUUCAUAUGGUACAACAUGAUCACACUGAUUAAAAUGAAUAAAAUGCAUGAGGUAAUACCUUUCCAAUUCGCGAAUAAUUUUAAAAGUCGAGCUCAUAAGGAUCGAUUUCCCAAUCACACUUGUUAGGUAACGGUGGAGGAACCUGAGUUCAAAAUGACUCAUGUUAAUUGAACAGAGAGAAAUAAAACGAGAAUAAAAAAAAAUUUAAAAAUUCAGUCUUGUUGAUAUAAUAAAAUUUGCAAACCAAUUAUGAUACAUUAUAUCAAUGACUGUUCAUGAGUCAAGAGUCAUGACAUGUUAUCAUCAAUGAUUUUAAAAAGAUACCCAUCAUCACAUCCUACUAUAUCAUAGUUCUACAAAGGUUAUACAACUUAUGGAAAACUAAAGCUUUUUUUAAAAACAAUGGCAAUGAACCUUAAUAAGCUGGUUAACAAUAAUAUUUUUUAAAAAAAACUUGUUAGCAAUAAUAAGAAAACAAAAGUAGCAAAGGUAGGUUCAUCAAAGUUAAUUGGACAGUCUGAUUUAUAAAAGGCUCCUAUGUAAAGUUCACUCAAGCACAUGAAUAUGAAAGUGAGACAAACCUUGUUUUAUUGUAGGGCUCUGUUGAAAUUACCAGGUUCCACGAACAGACCGGCAAGAUUUGACCAUGCAAUAGCAAAUGUAAGGUUGAAUACACAAUAUCUUGACAUAACAAAUUGUAGAGAAGUAAAGGCCUUUGCAAGUUCAGCAUGGUGCACACAUCUCAUUAGUCAUUCCACACACAAAUAGAAACAUUUAAAAACAAACAAAAAUCAAUAUAAACGCAAAGGAAAUCAAUAUCAACCAUAAAUCCGCCUAAUCUAGACCAAAUACAUAAGGUAAAUGCAUGUAUAUAUACUAUCAUCAAAGGAAAUCUAAUCAAAUUUGAAAGAAUUGACAAAGUCUGAAGUACCAGAGUAGAACAACACAAAGCUUAAGAAAACAGAUGCAUCUUUCAAAAAAAAUUCAUUUGUGAUCAAACCAUUUUUAAAGGGAGCAAAUUUUUACCUUAUCAAAAGCUUCCAUUGAAUUCCUUUUUCUACUACCUAGAGCAGCCUCUGCACAUUGCAAAAAGGAUUAAUCAUCAUAGAAUAAAUUCAUCAACAAUACUACACAUGGUUUCUUAGUAUUCAAUAAAGGCUUGCGACAUAAAAUUGAAAACAACAAAGUUGUUGAGAGAAAAAGGCUUAAUGUGCCUCUUCUUUUUAUAGCAGUGAAGAGAAGGAAAAUUAACAACUUUAGAGAUUGGCAUAUCAAUCCCCAAUUUUAGAAAAAACCAUAGAUCAUAACAAUACCAUCUUCAUAACCAAAUGACAAAGCCAAAUCCCAAAACAAAUAGUCGUGACGGAUUUAUCAUCAAACAAAAGAGUCAUAUACACAUACUCUAGAAACACACAUAUAUAAUCAUGAUUAAUUCAAAAUCAUGUGUAGCAUAUGUACUAUAUUCAUGGUGGUACAAUUGCUUUUACCAAAUCAGACUAAGGUCAUUUUUGUAGAUGGUUUCAAUUUUCAUCUAAAGAUAUAGAAAAAAGGAAGUUAUCUAGUAAAUUUAACUCCUCAUUCAAAGUCCAAUCGUAAGUUACAAGAAUCAUAAAUAAACUACCAAAUCAUAAUAUUAUUCCUUAAGUUUAAGACCACAAAAAUUCUAGGGACAUGAAGUGUCUUUGUAGUAGAUUAGAUAACACUUGUAACAUCUUUAACUAACAAUCAUCACAAAAUUUCAAACAAGAGAAGAACUAGAAAACAAAUAUGCCUUCAAAUAGUUUUCCAUCUGUCCUUGAGUUUCUUCCACCCAUGUCCUGCUUUUAGGUCAGGACAGGUCCUAUAUGGUUUAUCCAAGUUAUAUAUACUCAACUACCUAAGACAAGACCAGAUUGAAUGAACAGAUUCCACCUCAGUCAAUUGGAGAACACAAUAUUUAAAAAACAAAUAAGAAUUAAAUAUAGAUGAAAUUACAAAUGUGUUCAUGAACUCUUACCCUAAAUUGAAACUUGAAAGCUUGCUUUAAUAAUUACAAUCUUUCAUAAGCUUGCUUCCAUGACAAAAACAUAUUUCUAGAAACAAAAACAAAUCGCAACCAAAAUAGCAUGACAAACUAAUCUUUCUUCCAAAUUAGUGAAGAGAAAAAAAACAUAUUUAUAAUAACAAUUAUGUUAAAAUUAAUGAUGAGGAAAAAGUUUACAUGGAGGAGUGUGUAGUUGGUUCCUUCCUGUAACCAACAAACCAAAAACGAUGAUAAAAACAUGCAUCACAAACAAAGUUUGCUAACAAAUAUAAAGUCUUGUUACCAAAAGUUGAACCCCAAAUAUAGAUAUUAUCAACAAAAAUACAAAAAAUUAUGCCAAACAAAAUAAAAUGAUUUACUCCUUGAGAGGCAUUUUAUCAAAUAGAUACAAGACAGUAAGGUGGGUAGAAAAAUCAGAACAAAAUUAAUUUGUAACUCAAAGAUUAUUGUGUUGUCAUCAGUUCAUGUUCAUCUCUUGUUUGACCCAUAAAACGCGAUAUAGAAACAAGCUAAAGAGAAACAACAUGCAAUCAAUCAAUACAUUGGAACGACGGAGAGAUGAAGUUACUACAUACCUUGGAAAUGCAAAGAACGACAGAGAACGGCGGAGGGGUUGUGGUUCUUCGACGGAGUAGGGUUUGAAGGAGAACAACCGAGAGAUUAACGGAUUGUGCUUCCAGAUUAAACAGCGACGGUGGAGAAUAAACGGUGGCGGAGGAGAUUGAACAGCGGAGGAGGAUUGACGGCGGCGUAUUGUGCGAUUAGGUGUCGGAAUCGUCUCACUCAUUUUGCUUUUCGUUUUAGCGAAAUGUUAUGUUUUUGGGAAAAUAUGUGUGUUAAGAAACAAAUUGGUGAAAAAAAAUUAAGAUAUAAAAUUUAAAAUGUU